rnacentral:rRNA from 1 species
UCGGGAAUUUUGGGCAAUGGGGGAAACCCUGACCCAGCAACGCCGCGUGAAGGAUGAAGUAUUUCGGUAUGUAAACUUCGAAAGAAUAGGAAGAAUAAAUGACGGUACUAUUUAUAAGGUCCGGCUAACUACGUGCCAGCAGCCGCGGUAAUACGUAGGGACCAAGCGUUGUUCGGAUUUACUGGGCGUAAAGGGCGCGUAGGCGGCAUGACAAGUCACUUGUGAAAUCUCUGGGCUUAACCCAGAACGGCCAAGUGAUACUGUCGCGCUAGAGUGCAGAAGGGGCAAUCGGAAUUCUUGGUGUAGCGGUGAAAUGCGUAGAUAUCAAGAGGAACACCUGAGGUGAAGACGGGUUGCUGGGCUGACACUGACGCUGAGCGCGAAAGCCAGGGGAGCAAACGGGAUUAGAUACCCUAGUAGUCCCUGAGCGGGCUGGCAAGGCGCAU